rnacentral:rRNA from 1 species
GACGAACGCUGGCGGCGUGCUUAACACAUGCAAGUCGAACGAAGAGCGAUGGAAGCUUGCUUCUAUCACUCUUAGUGGCGAACGGGUGAGUAACGCGUAAUCAACCUGCCCUUCAGAGGGGGACAACAGUUGGAAACGACUGCUAAUACCGCAUACGAUCUAAUCUCGGCAUCGAGGAUAGAUGAAAGGUGGCCUCUACAUGUAAGCUAUCACUGAAGGAGGGGAUUGCGUCUGAUUAGCUAGUUGGAGGGGUAACGGCCCACCAAGGCGAUGAUCAGUAGCCGGUCUGAGAGGAUGAACGGCCACAUUGGGACUGAGACACGGCCCAGACUCCUACGGGAGGCAGCAGUGGGGAAUCUUCCGCAAUAGACGAAAGUCUGACGGAGCAACGCCGCGUGAGUGAUGACGGCCUUCGGGUUGUAAAGCUCUGUUAAUCGGGACGAAAGGCCUUCUUGCGAACAGUUAGAAGGAUUGACGGUACCGGAAUAGAAAGCCACGGCUAACUACGUG